GCAUAUCAAUAAGCGGAGGAAAAGAAACCAACAGGGAUUGCCCUAGUAACGGCGAAGUGAAGCGGCAACAGCUCAAAUUUGAAAUCUGGCGCAAGCCCGAGUUGUAAUUUGUAGAGGAUGCUUCUGGGUAGCGACCGAUCUAAGUUCCUUGGAACAGGACGUCAUAGAGGGUGAGAAUCCCGUAUGUGACCGGCCCGCACCCUUUACGUAGCUCCUUCGACGAGUCGAGUUGUUUGGGAAUGCAGCUCUAAAUGGGAGGUAAAUUUCUUCUAAAGCUAAAUACCGGCCAGAGACCGAUAGCGCACAAGUAGAGUGAUCGAAAGAUGAAAAGUACUUUGGAAAGAGAGUUAAAAAGCACGUGAAAUUGUUGAAAGGGAAGCGCCUGCAACCAGACUUCGCGGCAGUGUUCCGCCGGUCUUCUGACCGGUUCAUUCUCUGUCGCGAGGCCAUCAUCGUCUGGGCCCGCCGGAUAAGACCUGAGGAAUGUGGCUCCCCCUCGGGGGAGUGUUAUAGCCUCUGGUGAUGCGGCGUGGCUCGGGCGAGGUCCGCGCUUCGGCAAGGAUGAUGGCGUAAUGGUUGUCGGCGGCCCGUCUUGAAACACGGACCAAGGAGUCUAACAUCUAUGCGAGUGUUCGGGUGUCAAACCCCUACGCGUAAUGAAAGUGAACGGAGGUGGGAACCGCAAGGUGCACCAUCGACCGAUCCUGAUGUCCUCGGAUGGAUUUGAGUAAGAGCAUAGCUGUUGGGACCCGAAAGAUGGUGAACUAUGCCUGAAUAGGGUGAAGCCAGAGGAAACUCUGGUGGAGGCUCGCAGCGGUUUCUGACGUGCAAAUCGAUCGUCAAAUUUGGGUAUAGGGGGCGAAAGACUAAUCGAACCAUCUAGUAGCUGGUUCCUGCCGA
rnacentral:rRNA from 1 species